rnacentral:rRNA from 1 species
AUUGAACGCUGGCGGCAGGCUUAACACAUGCAAGUCGAACGAUGAUUAUCUAGCUUGCUAGAUAUGAUUAGUGGCGGACGGGUGAGUAACAUUUAGGAAUCUGCCUAGUAGUGGGGGAUAGCUCGGGGAAACUCGAAUUAAUACCGCAUACGACCUACGGGUGAAAGGGGGCGCAAGCUCUUGCUAUUAGAUGAGCCUAAAUCAGAUUAGCUAGUUGGUGGGGUAAAGGCCCACCAAGGCGACGAUCUGUAACUGGUCUGAGAGGAUGAUCAGUCACACCGGAACUGAGACACGGUCCGGACUCCUACGGGAGGCAGCAGUGGGGAAUAUUGGACAAUGGGGGCAACCCUGAUCCAGCCAUGCCGUGUGUGUGAAGAAGGCCUUUUGGUUGUAAAGCACUUUAAGCAGGGAGGAGAGGCUAAUGGUUAAUACCCAUUAGAUUAGACGUUACCUGCAGAAUAAGCACCGGCUAACUCUGUGCCAGCAGCCGCGGUAAUACAGAGGGUGCGAGCGUUAAUCGGAAUUACUGGGCGUAAAGCGAGUGUAGGUGGCUCAUUAAGUCACAUGUGAAAUCCCCGGGCUUAACCUGGGAACUGCAUGUGAUACUGGUGGUGCUAGAAUAUGUGAGAGGGAAGUAGAAUUCCAGGUGUAGCGGUGAAAUGCGUAGAGAUCUGGAGGAAUACCGAUGGCGAAGGCAGCUUCCUGGCAUAAUAUUGACACUGAGAUUCGAAAGCGUGGGUAGCAAACAGGAUUAGAUACCCUGGUAGUCCACGCCGUAAACGAUGUCUACUAGCCGUUGGGGUCCUUGAGACUUUAGUGGCGCAGUUAACGCGAUAAGUAGACCGCCUGGGGAGUACGGCCGCAAGGUUAAAACUCAAAUGAAUUGACGGGGGCCCGCACAGGCGGUGGAGCAUGUGGUUUAAUUCGAUGCAACGCGAAGAACCUUACCUGGUCUUGACAUAGUGAGAAUCCUGCAGAGAUGCGGGAGUGCCUUCGGGAAUUCACAUACAGGUGCUGCAUGGCUGUCGUCAGCUCGUGUCGUGAGAUGUUGGGUUAAGUCCCGCAACGAGCGCAACCCUCUUCCUUAUUUGCCAGCGGGUUAAGCCGGGAACUUUAAGGAUACUGCCAGUGACAAACUGGAGGAAGGCGGGGACGACGUCAAGUCAUCAUGGCCCUUACGACCAGGGCUACACACGUGCUACAAUGGUAGGUACAGAGGGUUGCUACACAGCGAUGUGAUGCUAAUCUCAAAAAGCCUAUCGUAGUCCGGAUUGGAGUCUGCGACUCGACUCCAUGAAGUCGGAAUCGCUAGUAAUCGCAGAUCAGAAUGCUGCGGUGAAUACGUUCCCGGGCCU